rnacentral:lncRNA from 1 species
AUGAAUGCCUGAUGAUAUUUAUAAGUAUGGUGUUACUUAGACAAGAUAAUUAAUAUGAUCAUGUUAAUACUUUAUAAUGAGCCAUUAAUGAUAAAUCAUCCGAUUAGAACCUCCUUUGUGUGUGGUUUCUAGUUGAGUAAUAAAAAGAGUUUAUAUUAUAUUUAUUUGAAAUACCAUUAGUGAAUUCUCUAACCUUGACAUUUGUUUUUAUCAUUGUUUAAUCCUUACAUUAAUCUCCCAUCUCAAAGUUCUCAUUAAUUUCUUCCUCUUCUUCUUUUUAUUAUUAUUACUACUACUACUACUACUAUUAAUAUUAUUACUAUUAUUAUUAUUAUUAUUAUUAUUAUUAUUAUUAUUAUUAUUAUUUACAUUCUUGUUAUAUGUUAUGUACGUUAAGUAUGCUCUGUGUUUGAUCAAGGAUCCUGACAUUGUUGGUCUUGCCUUAUUCAUUCACAUCAGAAAUCUGUUUAUAUUAUAUAAUAUAUCUCUUUGAUCUUUUCAUAAAAUCAGUAUAUAGGCUGGAAACCUGUGACCCGAUCUUUUAGAUCAUUCUCAGGUAUAACAACG